rnacentral:rRNA from 1 species
UACGGAGGGAGCUAGCGUUGUUCGGAAUUACUGGGCGUAAAGCGCACGUAGGCGGCUUUGUAAGUUAGAGGUGAAAGCCCGGAGCUCAACUCCGGAAUUGCCUUUAAGACUGCAUCGCUUGAAUCCAGGAGAGGUGAGUGGAAUUCCGAGUGUAGAGGUGAAAUUCGUAGAUAUCGUUUGGAACGCCAAUGGUGAAAACAGGUCGCUGGGAGUGUGCUGACGCUGAGACACGAAAGCCAGGGGAGCGAACGGG